AACGAACGCUGGCGGCAUGCCUAACACAUGCAAGUCGAACGAAGCCUUCGGGCUUAGUGGCGCACGGGUGCGUAACACGUGGGAAUCUGCCCUUCGGUUCGGAAUAACAGUUAGAAAUGACUGCUAAUACCGGAUGAUGACGUAAGUCCAAAGAUUUAUCGCCGAAGGAUGAGCCCGCGUAGGAUUAGGUAGUUGGUAGGGUAAUGGCCUACCAAGCCGACGAUCCUUAGCUGGUCUGAGAGGAUGAUCAGCCACACUGGGACUGAGACACGGCCCAGACUCCUACGGGAGGCAGCAGUGGGGAAUAUUGGACAAUGGGCGAAAGCCUGAUCCAGCAAUGCCGCGUGAGUGAAGAAGGCCCUAGGGUUGUAAAGCACUUUCAAUUGGGAGGAAAACCUAGCCGGUCAAUACCCGGCAGCUUGACAUUACCUUUAGAAGAAGCACGGCUAACUCCGUGCCAGCAGCCGCGGUAAU
rnacentral:rRNA from 1 species